rnacentral:rRNA from 1 species
UAACACACCGAAAGGUGUACUAAUACCGCAUAAGACCACGGGAUCACAUGGUUCUGGGGUAAAAGAUUUAUCGGUUUGGGGUGGGCUCGCGUCCGAUUAGGUAGUUGGUGAGGUAACGGCCCACCAAGCCGACGAUCGGUAGCCGACCUGAGAGGGUGAUCGGCCACAUUGGGACUGAGACACGGCCCAAACUCCUACGGGAGGCAGCAGUGGGGAAUAUUGGGCAAUGGAGGAAACUCUGACCCAGCAACGCCGCGUGGAGGAAGAAGGUUUUCGGAUCGUAAACUCCUGUCCUUGGAGACGAGUAGAAGACGGUAUCCAAGGAGGAAGCCCCGGCUAACUACGUGCCAGCAGCCGCGGUAAUACGUAGGGGGCAAGCGUUGUCCGGAAUAAUUGGGCGUAAAGGGCGCGUAGGCGGCUCGGUAAGUCUGGAGUGAAAGUCCUGCUUUUAAGGUGGGAAUUGCUUUGGAUACUGUCGGGCUUGAGUGCAGGAGAGGUUAGUGGAAUUCCCAGUGUAGCGGUGAAAUGCGUAGAGAUUGGGAGGAACACCAGUGGCGAAGGCGACUAACUGGACUGUAACUGACGCUGAGGCGCGAAAGUGUGGGGAGCAAACAGGAUUAGAUACCCUGGUAGUCCACACUGUAAACGAUGAAUGCUAGGUGUAGGGGGUAUCGACCCCUUCUGUGCCGCAGU